AUACGGAGGGUGCAAGCGUUGUUCGGAAUUAUUGGGCGUAAAGGGCGUGUAGGUGGCUUACCAAGUCUGGUGUGAAAUCCCACGGCUCAACCGUGGAACUGCAUUGGAAACUGGUGAGCUCGAGUAUUGGAGGGGGUCGCGGAAUUCCCGGUGUAGAGGUGAAAUUCGUAGAUAUCGGGAGGAACACCAGUGGCGAAGGCGGCGACCUGGCCAUUUACUGACACUGAGACGCGAAAGCGUGGGUAGC
rnacentral:rRNA from 1 species